rnacentral:snoRNA from 12 species
UUGCAUGUGGAAACGUCUGUUCUGCAUUCUUUUGGAGCAGGAAUACAUCCAUCACAUGCUACAUUGAGAAGGAGUUCUCAGGGCUGCCGACCUUACAGUAGAGGUUGAGUAGUAGUAUAUUUCUCCUACAUAA